rnacentral:sRNA from 5 species
AUGUGCCGCUUGUACAUUGCAGUUCUGAGCGCGCCGUCCGCGCCCACCUCACGGCUGCUCGCUACGUUUUGUCAGCC